AGAUAUAGUGCCGGAAUAAACGGAUAACUCUGAUGACGUUAAAUAUGGAUACAUCCCUAUAUCUA
rnacentral:tRNA from 1 species